UUCGGCUUGGGCAGGCCCC
rnacentral:misc_RNA from 1 species